UACACAACAUCAGGACGACCCAGAGCAGAACCUUGUGAGGGUUGAACAUGAUGAGAGCUGUCAUGAGGACGUCUGCAGUCUUUACUAUUCUCAUCACAGGAGUCCUGGGACAGUACUCGGUACAUCAGGACCCGUAUAUUACUGUGACCGAGGGAGAAGAUGUGCAAAUAAACUGCAGCUACACUGGCACAGAGUACAGUCUGCAAUGGUACCAGAGUGUCAGCAGCCACAAAAUUCAGUCACUUCUACUCCAGAGAACUAACGGUUAUACAUUUCUUGGGCGUUUUACAAUGUUUCUGGAUACCAAGGAGAAGUUCACCUAUCUCUAUAUGAACAAGUCACAAGUGGAAGACUCGGCAGUGUACUACUGUGCGAUAGGGGCACAGUGAUAAACUCCAGCAGGGGCGCAGUAUAAUAAGCUGUCAGCUCUGGAACACAUCAUCACAUAUCACUGGUGUUGUUCAGUUUUAUCCUAAUGCAUUCUGAAUGGAAAGCAUUCCGUUCAGUAUGCAUCAGUAUUUCUUCAUUUCAGUCCCUCUUAUGGUAUUUUGCCAGAGAAAAUGCUACAGCAUGCUGCAGUAUUUUCUCUUGCCAAAAUUCUGGAACACUUUCCAUUGUAUUAAUGCCGGAUCCGGUACCAAGUGUUUCGGGAAACCGGAUACGGUUUCCUGGUCUGCGCAUGCGCAGACCUUUAAAUCUGUGAGAAAAAAUAAAUACCAGAUCCAUUUUUCC